GCCUUAAUGCAGCUCCCCUCCAGGGGAACGGUCACAAGCCCGUGGAAAUGCAGAGUGAGGC
rnacentral:ribozyme from 1 species